rnacentral:pre_miRNA from 1 species
GUAGUAUUCCCUCCGUCCCAAAAUUCUUGUCUUACAUUUGUUUAGAUACGGAUGUAUCUAACACUAAAAUGUAACUAGAUACAUUCGUAUUUAGACAAAUUUAAGACAAGAAUUUUGGGAUGGAGGGAGUACAAA